UUGAAAAUAUUCCGAUACAAAUCCGUUGGUAAAUGUAGAAUUUAAUUGAAAAAUCAGAGAUGAAACCUCAAAGUGAGAAAAAUCAAUGCACUUUAGCUCGCUUUUUCGUUUCCUGUGAAUUUUUUUAGCAAUUAUUCGGCAAAUCCUUCGGCGUUAGUUUGAAAUGUGUUAUGCUCUAUCCAUUCCAACAACUUGAUAGAACUUGACAUUGUGCAACUGAGUUUUUAUGUCAUUUUCCAGGCACAUAAUAUGGCCGUUUUUAGAGAGUACCAUUUGAAACAUGCAUAUGGGAUUACACCAUUACAACAGAAAAUUCCCAUACCCUUCUUCUUACCUUAACUACUUUAACUUUUAUCUGAAGCUUUGCCUUUCUCGAACAGAAUUUUACUCUGCUUAUAUGGAGUGCCUCUUGCGAUAUUCUCAUAGACAUCUAGUCCUCAACUGAAAACCUUUCGCCCUUAUUUUCCAGGAUUUUCAAGAUAUCAAGCUGAGCAGCACACCGAAUUUGAUCACCUUUCCGGAUCAUAUUUCGCAAUUUCUUGAAGCUGAGCCAAUCAGAUAAUGUGCCAAAUAUUACACUAUUUGACUGUUAUUGCACAUUACAAACUUCUUUCCAUUGACAAAACUUAAAAUAACUUCCGUUAAUGAAUCAACAUCUUGGGCUGAAAAUAUUGUACAUGGAGAUUCAUGAAAUAAUCUAGUGUACACUCUCUUUUCGUGAUAAGCAUCAAGGAUAAAUUCACUUGCUCAUGUAAGAAUUCUCGCUGGUAUAUUUUCGAGCUUUGCUCAUGCUCCCUUUUCAUGGCACCCAUUAAUUGAAACAUUCAAAAUUUCAGAAUAGAGAGAACACAUGAUUGAAAAAGAGAACCCAAGAAAACACUUGCAUUAUCAGUUUGCUUGCUCUUUCUUACUGUCUCCACAAAAUCCCCUUCUUUGCAUCAUAGGUUUUCAUCUCUUUUAAUCAUUAUGUUCACCAGCAUCUUUGCUCUCUUAAACCAGGUUUCCACCUGCUUUAAUCAAAGUUGUUAACUUUUCAGGGCUCUCACCUCUUUUAACCAUCAUGUUCACCAACUCUUGUGCUUCCUCAAAUCGUUUUGACUUAAAUAGCCCACCUAGUAUUUUGCUACAUAAGCAAAUAUCACAUGCAAAACCUUUCUUCUCCAUCUCAGUCUGCAAUGCAAAAGCUUCAUCUAUCAUUCCCACAUUGCAAUAUCCAUCAACCAAUGUAUUAAAUAAUGCCUUGUCUAGCUCAAUUCCUUUGCUCUGCAUCUUGCUUACAUAUACCAUUGCAAUCUCCAUCUUUCCAGCCUUGCAAAUGCCAUUUAUUAAGGCCCAAAAAGUAUCAAAAUUGAAGUUAACAUCUCUAGUUGUCAUCCUAUCAAACACAGAAAGCGCUCUAUCCACAAGACCUAGUUUACAAUACCCAUUUAUAAUCAAGUUAUACAUGUGGGUAUCUGCUUUUAAGUCUCUAUCAUGCAUAUCCAAUACCAAUUUCUUAGCUUCUUCAAUUUUGCCAAAGCUUGAGUACCCAUCUAUCAAAAUUUUAUAUGUAUUGACAUUAAAUGCCUCUCCUUCCUUUUCCAUUAAUGCCAAUAUGGAAUCUAACUCCUCAAAAUUCCAUCUCUUAGCACAAGCAUCGAUCAUUAUGUUAUAUGUUAUAAUAUUGGGUUUAAUCCCUUUACUUAACAUUUCCUCCACCAAUUCUCUACACCUCUUGAUCUCUCCACUCUUACACAAUCCAUCAACAACUACUGUCAAUGAAUACACAGAAAUCUCAAUACCAGAUUCAACCAUUCGAUAAAAAAAUUCAAGGCCUAAACUCAUCUCAUCAUUUCUCUUAAGAGCGAACAAAUGAACAGUACAAGUUCUUUCAUCAAUGCCAAUUCCAUUAUUCUUCAUGUGAUCAAAAGUCUCCAAAACUUGGCCAAAUUUUGCAUUAUCGGAAUAAACCUUAAUUAUCAAAUUGAAUAACUUUGCCACAACUUUCGGUUCAAAACAACAACAAUUCUCAAUAGUAGCAGCUAGAAAAGGAAAUGGGUACCUGGGAUAUUCAUCGAUUGACACAGAUUUCAAGAGAUUCUCUGCAUCUGAGAACCUUCUUACCAUUAAAAGCCUGCAAAUUAGAGUCAAAUGCGCCUGAAGAUCGGGUUUGAAUGAGAUCAAUGAUUGGUUUUCUAUGAUAAAGUUGAAGAAAUGCAAGCAUUGUGAGGGUUUGUGAUCUGGGCUAGCUAGAAUUUGGUGGAGCUUCGUUGGGCUGAGAUUAGAGAGAAUCGUA
rnacentral:misc_RNA from 1 species